ACCUCUAUAGCUCAGUGACAGAGCGCUGGUCCUGUGAACCAGGGGUCAUGAGUUCAAACCUCACAGGAGACA